AACGAACGCUGGCGGCAGGCCUAACACAUGCAAGUCGAGCGAGGACUUCGGUCCUAGCGGCGGACGGGUGAGUAACGCGUGGGAACGUGCCCCUUGGUACGGAAUAGCCCCGGGAAACUGGGAGUAAUACCGUAUGAGCUCUACGGAGGAAAGAUUUAUCGCCCAGGGAUCGGCCCGCGUUGGAUUAGGUAGUUGGUGGGGUAAUGGCCUACCAAGCCGACGAUCCAUAGCUGGUUUGAGAGGAUGAUCAGCCACACUGGGACUGAGACACGGCCCAGACUCCUACGGGAGGCAGCAGUGGGGAAUCUUAGACAAUGGGCGCAAGCCUGAUCUAGCCAUGCCGCGUGAGCGAUGAAGGCCUUAGGGUUGUAAAGCCCUUUCGCACACGACGAUGAUGACGGUAGUGUGAGAAGAAGCCCCGGCUAACUUCGUGCCAGCCGCCGCGGUAAAAC
rnacentral:rRNA from 1 species